AGCGAACGCUGGCGGCAGGCCUAACACAUGCAAGUCGAACGGACCCUUCGGGGUUAGUGGCGGACGGGUGAGUAACACGUGGGAACGUGCCUUUAGGUUCGGAAUAGCUCCUGGAAACGGGUGGUAAUGCCGAAUGUGCCCUUCGGGGGAAAGAUUUAUCGCCUUUAGAGCGGCCCGCGCCUGAUUAGCUAGUUGGUGAGGUAACGGCUCACCAAGGCGACGAUCAGUAGCUGGUCUGAGAGGAUGACCAGCCACACUGGGACUGAGACACGGCCCAGACUCCUACGGGAGGCAGCAGUGGGGAAUCUUGCGCAAUGGGCGAAAGCCUGACGCAGCCAUGCCGCGUGAAUGAUGAAGGUCUUAGGAUUGUAAAAUUCUUUCACCGGGGACGAUAAUGACGGUACCCGGAGAAGAAGCCCCGGCUAACUUCGUG
rnacentral:rRNA from 1 species